rnacentral:rRNA from 1 species
AGCUCCAAUAGCGUAUAUUAACGUUGUUGCAGUUAAAAAGCUCGUAGUUGAAUUCUAAAUUAAGACUGCUGGUUGGCUCUUCGGGGUCAUACUGGUAGUCUUGUUUAAAGAGUCGUGAACUUUGGAUGAUCUUAACCGAUUGUCUUUAGUGAUCGGCACUUUUACUUUGAAAAAAUUGGAGUGCUUAAAGCAGGCAAUUGCCUGAACAGUGGUGCAUGGAAUAAUGAAAUAGGACUUUGGUCUUAUUUUGUUGGUUUUAGAGACUAAAGUAAUGAUUAAAAGGAACUGACGGGGGCAUUUGUAUACCAGGGGGAGAGGUGGAAUUCAGAGAUCCUUGGUAGACAAUCUACUGCGAAAGCAUUUGCCAAGAAUGUUUUCAUUAAUCAAGAACGAAAGUAGG